UUGUUCAGUAUCUGUUGAUUAGUAGCAUUAGUAUUUAUAACCAAAUUAUUUGAGAAACGGGCAGCUUUUUUUCAAGGUAUCAAUAACGAAACAAAAGAAAAAAUAAAUCUUAAUGUGUCUGUUAUUAUGGUCAAAUGUUGAAGAUUUAGACUUAAAUUUUGUGCUAAAAAUGUUAGAAGAAAGUGCUAAUAUCGAGAUACAGUUUUGUUAAAAAUAAUUUAGCAAUCCUGAGAAUAACUGCACAAAAAAAAGCAAAACAGAAGGUUACCCGUUUUCAGAAUUCAGAACGUAACCUUAACACUUGGAUUCCAUUCAUUACAAAAAAAUAUAACUUGUAUUAACAACUAAAAUAAGGCUAAAAAACGCAGUUUGAAAAAUUUGUAAAACGCUUUCAAAAGUUAGAGCUAUUUUGCAAUACUUCAAAGAUUUUGUGCCUGAAAAAAUGUUGGCGUCAUACAGCAUACAUUGGACAGAAAAGUAUAAGUCAAAAACAAACAGGUAAAGAACUAUAAUUUUUAGUUCAUUGUUUCCGGCGUUUCGAUACUAGUUUCCCGAAUCGAAGAUGACUUAGUUGUGACAAUAAUAAAUACAAUAUUAAACAGUAAAA